CAGUGCUGUGAGUAAAGUAGCUAAGUAGCUUUUUUCUGUAAUCUAGAUUUUUGUCAGCGAUUUUGCCACCGCUGCUUGAAAAUGGGGAGGGGAAAGGGGAGAAAGAGCAUGAUGAUAGGAAGAAGAAAUGAAAGGGUGUAAAUGCAGGGAAAGUACAAGAAAAUGAAAGGAAAGAAAGAAACAAAAGUCUUGCAAAUUUCUAUCACCUUUCUUUUUCUUUCUAUCUUUUAUUUUUCUUUUCUUUUUCCAUUAACCUACUUUUCUUUUUUCUUCCUGUUUUUCUUUUGUUGCUGACAGCAUUUCCAAAUUUAUGGGCAAAAUAUAGAGAAGAAAUGUGAAAGUUUUUUUCCUCUUUGUCCUUUUUUUUCUUCUUUUUCUUACUUUCAUUUCUAUCUCCUUUAUUUUUUAUUUCUUCUUUUUUUUCCUUUAACUUCACCUUGGAGAAAUUGGAACAGAGGACAGUGAUAGCUCUUUUAUACACACUCUUUUGUUUACUUAGAUUUGAUUGACAUAGUCCACUUCUGCCCUGCCACAUUUUUUUUUUGGGGGGGGGGGUGUUAAUGGCCUUCUAGUUUCUGCCAUUAUCCAGUAAUAUACAACUCAUGAUUGUCAUUUAGAAUUAUCUUAAAGAAGUAUAUCUGACUUUAUAUAGAAGAAUAUGUAUACUGUAUUUAUUCAAACAUUUGACUUUAAAGUGGUAUAUUUUUGUAGUACAGCUCAAUAAAAUAGUAUUGUCUAUAAACUUUAUUUGUUUGUACAUCUCAUUUAUACAAAACCACAUAACAUUAAACGUUGAGUGCGUAUUUCAAUUUAUCACUCUUUAGAAUGUUGAAUGUACUCACUCAGUAUUUAGAUAUAUAGCAUAUUGAAUUUAUAUGUAGUAGUAUUUUAUUUCAUUGUGAGAUAUAGCAGAGACAAAAAUUUGAAUGUGUUUAUGAACAGUACCAAACUUGUAAUUAUAUCUUGUAUAGCAUAUACCUUGGAGUAUAUAUAUAUUACAAAAUGUCAGUUAAUUAGUCAUUUUAUGUACAAUACAAGUUUUUAAAUAUUUCUUUAGAGUGAUGUCUUUGUUUUUCAAGUAUGCUAUCGUGUUGAAUUUCAUAUGAUCACAUUGGCAAUUUAAUCAGCUGCAAUUCUUAGAUUUCAAAGAUUGGUUUUGCUUGUAUGCAAAUCUUAUGGUCUAUUAACUUUUUUAUGCUUUCAAAUUAUUCCAUUCCAAAAUACUAUGAUGUAUUAUUAUGCAAAAUGUGAACUAUAUAUGAUGUCAUUUUUUUAUGAGUGCCUUAAUUGUAUUGUUAAAUAAUCAUUAAUUAAAAUGGUUUAGUUUAUGGGACAUCUAUGAUAUUGUGCCAUUGAUACCAUAAUGAUUUAGGCAGUGGUGUUAGUUUUUCUACUCAUUGAUAUGCAGGACUUUUCAAUUUAUAAUGAAUAAAAAAAAUUGAUCAAAAUGGUGCAUUUUUAUCAAGUGCUCAUGUCCACUCUAGAAUAUACUCAAGAUGCCAAUAUUAAUUAUCUAAAAAAUGUGUAAUAAAUUGAAAAAUAACUCAUUUCAUACUCUUAAAACUAUUUGACAAUGGAAUCUAAUAUGACUCUGCCUCUAUGGAAAUUUUGCCCCUACAAUUUGCAUCAUUUUAACUUGGUCGAUAGGGGAAAACAUUUACGUUCGUUAUACAAACAAGAUAUGAUUUGUUUUUAUUUUGUAAUUUGUAUUUGCUUCACUCUUGGUCAUGAUUGGUUUUGGUUAAAGAGCAGUAGCCAUAAGGCAUCAAUAUUUUCUUUAAAAAAUAUGUAAAUAGCAUUUAUUUUGUGAAGAAUUAGUUGAGUGAUAUAUUUUUGUACUGCUGAUCAACUUCUUUUCCAAGUUUGUGUAAGUUUCAAAUGAGACAAUGUGAAUGUAUAUUUCAAAAUUAGUAUUUUGUAUACGAAUGAAAUGAUCAAUUAUACUAUGCUAUAAAAGA